UUGUGCUCGAGAGAGAGAGAGAGAGAGAGAGAGAGAGAAGGCUGAUUGUGUGUCUGGGCGUCUGUGUUGAGCUGUGAGCUCUUUGAGACUGUGCAUCCAAGAGUGAAAGUAAAAGAGCAGGAGAGCGAGUGAGGAAUGACAGAGGAGGCUGAGGCUACGCCGCACACUCGAGCCUCGGAGACGCGCUUUGGACCCGACACCUGCCAAAGCGACGCCACCCUUCUUUUUCUAGCUGUGCGUCCACAUGCGCACCCAGCACAGUGCCGGUGAGGUGGGCGUCCCGCUGGCAGGAGGUGGCUGCAGUGGUGGCAACUCAGAGCAGUCACCUGGCUUUGACUCAGACUGUAGCCCCGCUCUGGGACUGGCCGGAGGGGUUAGAGCAGUGCGAGGGGUCAUGUCCCAUUACUGGAGUCUGGAGAGCCUUCACUCCACCAACGGGUUGGCAUGGUGACAGACAAGCCAAUGACCGUCAGCCAAGGUAGCACUGAUGUCACAAACGGCCACCGCUACCCACGUCAGCUGCAAUUUGGAUGUUUUUCUCAUUUUCUGCUUUGUCCUAAGAGAGAUGGGAUGUGACUUUUCCUGUGAUGGAGGGAAAUAAAUGGUGCACUGUGAGCCGGGGGCAAUAGCUACAGACAUUUCAAACAGCGCUGUCACCUCGUCACGGUCCGCUGACCUCAUUACAGCGCUCAUAUAGCUGAUCGUAGAACAGUCCGAAGAAAAAAAAAACAGGAGUGACAUGUGAGAAACGUGUCGAACUGGAUCUUUGUAAGUUUGAACAUUAGAAGUGUUUGAUGAGAGUUUGUUUAUGCACAAAUCCCAAGGCUCUUUCUCGGCAUCACCAGACAGAAAUGGUUUGGGUUCAAGCCAGACUGGACACGCAGAACUCAUUCACUAAACUGAUAGACUCUCUAUUCUAGUGUGGGCCAACAAGAACUGGUUUUUAGUGUAAUUACUGACUGGGAGGUCCACAGUAUAUACUGUAAUAUCUCGAGAAAGCUAGCCAUUAGCAUUUCCGUUUGUCUCAGUGGCAUUUGCUUAGCUGGUGCAGGAUACCUCAGAAUACUGUGACAGUCUAUAUCUAGUUUACUUUUAAAAGGUAACACUUUAGCGACCUAUUAUCAUUAUUAACCGGAUGCUUAUUAGAAUGCCUAUUGUUGUAUUAGUAGGUCUACUCACAAAUCACAUAUUCUGCAUGACCACCCAAUACCUAAACUUAACAACUGUCUAGUCAAAAACAGCGUUAUCACAACAUGCUACUAAUUUUAGUUUUUUUUUAUAAUAUGGCGACCUCAAAAGGUAUUUAGACACUUACAGUAUUUUUAAUGCAUUUUACAAUAAAAUCCAAACCAAGACACAGCACCUGGGAAAUAGGGAAUAUUUUAUUAUUAAGAUAUUUUGUACCAUUUGCCUUUAAUACAGUUUCCAACUGUCUUAGAAUAGAUUCAUAGAACCUUUGAAUAGUCCCCGGUUGAAUGUGGUUUAUCAGAACAUCUGCCAGUUGCCUAGAGAUGUUGGAGGAGGGAACUGGCUACUCACUUUUCUUUCCAAAACUGCCCACAGUGGUUGACAAUAAUCAAGUCAGGUGAUUAAGCUGGGGAAGUUCAUCUGAGUGCUCCAGAUGUCUAGGCUUUAUGAUCAUGACACCAUAUUUUUCACAUUUUAUCACUAAUUUCUGUGAUAAAAGUUAUAAUUUGCUGCUCUUUCA